UACAGAGGCCACGAGCGUUAGGCGGAAUCACUGGGCUUAAAGCGUGUGUAGGUGGAUCGGUAAGUACCUUGUGAAAUCCCACGACUCAAUCGUGGAACUGCUUGGUAUACUGCCAGUCUUGAGGUACUCAGGGGCAAGCGGAACAGAUGGUGGAGCGGUGAAAUGCGUAGAUAUCAUCUGGAACGCCAAUGGUGAAGACAGCUUGCUGGGGGUAUUCUGACACUGAGACACGAAAGCCCAGGGGAGCAAACGGG
rnacentral:rRNA from 1 species